rnacentral:rRNA from 1 species
AUUGAACGCUGGCGGCAGGCCUAACACAUGCAAGUCGAGCGGAUGAAGGGAGCUUGCUCCUGGAUUCAGCGGCGGACGGGUGAGUAAUGCCUAGGAAUCUGCCUGGUAGUGGGGGAUAACGUCCGGAAACGGGCGCUAAUACCGCAUACGUCCUGAGGGAGAAAGUGGGGGAUCUUCGGACCUCACGCUAUCAGAUGAGCCUAGGUCGGAUUAGCUAGUUGGUGGGGUAAAGGCCUACCAAGGCGACGAUCCGUAACUGGUCUGAGAGGAUGAUCAGUCACACUGGAACUGAGACACGGUCCAGACUCCUACGGGAGGCAGCAGUGGGGAAUAUUGGACAAUGGGCGAAAGCCUGAUCCAGCCCUGCCGCGUGUGUGAAGAAGGUCUUCGGAUUGUAAAGCACUUUAAGUUGGGAGGAAGGGCAGUAAGUUAAUACCUUGCUGUUUUGACGUUACCAACAGAAUAAGCACCGGCUAACUUCGUG